rnacentral:rRNA from 1 species
UACAGAGGUCUCAAGCGUUGUUCGGAUUCAUUGGGCGUAAAGGGAGCGUAGGUGGCGGGGCAAGUCGGGUGUGAAAUCUCGGAGCUUAACUCCGAAACUGCAUUCGAUACUGCCGUGCUUGAGGACUGGAGAGGAGACUGGAAUUUACGGUGUAGCGGUGAAAUGCGUAGAUAUCGUAAGGAAGACCAGUGGCGAAGGCGGGUCUCUGGACAGUUCCUGACGCUGAGGCACGAAGGCCAGGGGAGCAAACGGG